AGAACAUCGAGAGGACAUUUCCCUAGUACGAGAGGAUCUGGAAGGACGCACCUCUGGUGUACAAGUUAUCGUGCCCACGAUAAACGCUGGGUAGCCAAGUGCGGAGCGGAUAACUCCUAAAAGCAUCUAAAUAGUAAGCCCACCCCAAGAUGAGUGCUCU
rnacentral:rRNA from 1 species